UGGAGGCGUCGCGACUGGCGCAGUCAAAGGUGGAAGCAACCACCGGGAAGCGACACGGAUCCCGUACGAAAACACCGUGCGCCUGGGUGGCGGGG
rnacentral:ncRNA from 2 species